UGGGGAAUUUUGGACAAUGGGGGCAACCCUGAUCCAGCAAUGCCGCGUGUGUGAAGAAGGCCUUCGGGUUGUAAAGCACUUUUGUCCGGAAAGAAAACGCCGUGGUUAAUACCCGUGGCGGAUGACGGUACCGGAAGAAUAAGCACCGGCUAACUACGUGCCAGCAACCGCGGUAAUACGUAGGGUGCAAGCGUUAAUCGGAAUUACUGGGCGUAAAGCGUGCGCAGGCGGUCCGCUAAGACAGAUGUGAAAUCCCCGGGCUUAACCUGGGAACUGCAUUUGUGACUGGCGGGCUAGAGUAUGGCAGAGGGGGGUAGAAUUCCACGUGUAGCAGUGAAAUGCGUAGAGAUGUGGAGGAAUACCGAUGGCGAAGGCAGCCCCCUGGGCCAAUACUGACGCUCAUGCACGAAAGCGUGGGGAGCAAACAGGAUUAGAUACCCUGGUAGUCCACGCCCUAAACGAUGUCAACUAGUUGUCGGGUCUUCAUUGACUUGGUAACGUAGCUAACGCGUGAAGUUGACCGCCUGGGGAGUACGGUCGCAAGAUUAAAAACUCAAAUGAAAUUGACGGGGUCAUAGCUGUUUCCUG
rnacentral:rRNA from 1 species